CCAGGGGAGGCUAAGUACCAUUUGGGAGUGUGGGGAAGGCAGCCUGAGGUUGAAACCAAAGCACAGAGAAGAGCAGAGCGUCCAGAAAGGCGGAGAACCGGCACCAAGGUCCUGACCAAACUCUGGACUUUCCAGUUGUGUGAGCAUUUGAGAACCACUGGACUAGAGGAAGAUCUGAAACUACUGACUGAGGAGUGAAAGAGCCUGGUGAUCCAAGAGCAGGACUGAAGUCCAAGUGAAGAUGAAGGUGAAUCGUGCAUCCCAGAUGUGCUGGGAGCGGCCAUGGAAGCGAUGGCCGUGGAAGGGGUAGAGUGCUAUGGAUUCAGCAACGAACUCUCCAGAACUGACAUCUCCUUCAACCGGUGUCCGUCUGUUCAACCUGAUGUCCCUAGUCUCCUGGUCAGUGCCGGGAGGGUGCAUUUCGGCUGCAACCUCAUUGAGGGCUCUAAACGUUUUUAAAUGCCCUCUUCUCUCACGGAAGUUGGGUAUUUAUUCUUUCCUGUUGCCAACCCUAAGAUGUCAUGCUUACUUUCUCUCAAGUUUCUUUAUAUUUCUGAAUUUCUAGAUUUCCUUUUUGGCGGAAUUUAGCCCAGAAUAACAGGGUUCCUUGUGAGCCUGUGAGUAACCCAAGCAAAGAAUUUCUCAAGCCUCUCUGAUAUACCCAAGCAAAAGCUGUGGCGUAGCUCAGUAAAGACAGGUGCAAUAAUAAAGAUGUUGAUAAAAUUC